UACGUAGGGGGUAAGCGUUGUUCGGAAUUACUGGGCGUAAAGGGCGCGUAGGCGGCACAGCAAGUCGGGAGUGAAAGCCCGGGGCUCAACCCCGGAAUGGCUUUCGAAACUGCUGAGCUAGAGUACAGAAGGGGCAACCGGAAUUCCCAGUGUAUCGGUGAAAUGCGUAGAUAUUGGGAAGAACACCUGAGGCGAAGGCGGGUUGCUGGGCUGAUACUGACGCUGAGGCGCGAAAGCCAGGGGAGCAAACGGG
rnacentral:rRNA from 1 species